rnacentral:lncRNA from 1 species
CUGUUGUCCGUGUGUUAUUGCUUACAAAUGAUUCUCCAUCAACGUUGAUUAUGGUGACCGAGGGAUCGAGAACCGAGGGGAUUAGAGUCCAUUACAACAUUAACCCUUUCAGCUUGGUGUCUAGAAGUGGGAUAGAAGUUGGAUCAGCAAAACCAUUUGCGGUGAGUAGCCUUUUUGUGUCUUAUUUGACGCUGAUUGUCUAUGACCCCCCUUUGGUUCAGUAAGACUGUAUCCAGUAGAUAGGAAAGGUGUUAGUUUAAGAUUGCUUUUAUAUUGUGUCUAUCUGUGUUUCCAAGGAGGAAUAGACAGGAACACUUGUUUCAACUGUGGACAAUAUGGCCACUGGAGGAAUGAGUGUCCACACCCCAGGAAACCCCACACACCCCAACAACCCCACCUUUCUCAAAAUAUGCCCUGUAGGCAAGAACAACACCAGACCCACUCCCAACACCACUGGCCAGCAUAUCGCUUAGUUCAGGACUUUAGAGCCCUGAAUAGUUUAAUUGUGCCCAUUUCACCCAUUGUCCCUGAUAUGACAUCCCUCAUUACAGCCAUUCCACAUGAUGCCACUUGCUUCACUGUCAUUGAUUUAAGUAAUGCAUUUUUUCUAUACCUAUUGAUCAAGAGACACAGCUACUUAUGGUUUUUACUUUUUGAAGGCUGUCAGUUUACCUGGACACGCUUACCCAAGGCUAUGUGGAUUCCCCAGCUGUUUAUUCGUUGGUACUCCAACAUACUCUAAAAAACAUGGACCACCGGUCAUGGUUCUGUCCUUUUUGCAAAAUGUUGAUGAUUUGUUGUUAUGUAGCCCUAGCUCUGAGGCAAGCACUGUGGAUACUGUCAGCAACUAUAGGUCACAAGGUUGUUAAACACAAAAUGCAAUUGUGUAAAUCAAAGGUUGAAUACUUAGGUUUUGUUCUGGCUUUAGGCACCAGACAAUUGAGUCCAAAACGUAUUGAGGUCAUUCAGAGGAUUCCUACACCCACUACUCGGAAGGAGUUGCUCACCUUCCUCGGCAUGAUUAAUUACUGCCGCCAAUGGAUCCCUGAAUGCUCCCAUUAUGACUCAAUCCUAAGGGAGGCUGUACGUUCUGACAGCCCUGAAAAUGUCUGCUGGUCACCAGACAUGCUAGCUGCAUAUAUUGCCCUUACAGUUGUUAUUGUGCAAGCCCAGGCUUUAGGACUACCUGUGUAUUGUAAACCAUUUCAUUUGUAUGCUUGGGACAAUUGUAAAACCAUGGCCGCAGUCUGUGCACAAGAGCAAGGAGGCGGUAUGCGUCCCAUAGCAUUCUUUUCCAAAGUAGUUCGAGCUCCGGUACAGGGUAUGCCGGCGUGUCUCAGAGCAUUGAUAGCAUGUGCAAUGGCUGUUGAAACUGCUACUACUAUCACACUAGGGCAUCCUACAAUACUUCAUGCCAGUCACCAGGUCACUCAGCUGACAAAUCUCACCACACAACACAUGACAGCCCAGCGCUUCAGUGGUUAUGAGAUUUUUUUUUUUUUAAUACCCAGAAUCUGUCUUUUGGAUUAAACAAGGUUUAGAGAAAGAUCAGAAUGAUCUGUUCUCUAAAGAGGGGAGAAUAGGCAUACUUGAAGAAUAGGCAUACUUGAAGCAAGCUGAUUUAUUUUCAUCAGUCAGGCACAUAGCAAGCACCAUUCAAUUCCUCAUGAAUUCAUUUUAUAUUAGGAAUCUCAGGCAGCAUGUACAGUCUUUUGUAAGAUCGUGUGAACGCUGCUCUUUUUACACACUUACAGAUUGAUUUUAUUCAUGUAUCCAAAAUUGGUAAGAAACAGCAAUACUUACUGGUCAUAGUUGAUCAGUUUAGUAGAUGGCAUGAGGCCUUUGUGACAUCUAGGGAAGAUGCUAGUGAAGUUUAUUGUUACUGAAAUUAUUCCCAGGUAUGGCUGCCCUCUGCAGAUUGGCUCUGAUAAUGGCCCGGUUUUUGCAAGUAGGGUUGCCCAGGAACUUGCUAAAUUCUUGCAAGUUACCUGGCAGUUUCAUAUACCCUAUCAUCCACAGAAUACAGGGGUAGUUGAAAGGAUGAAUAGGACUAUUAAGGAAAAGCCCAGAAUUUACCCAGGAACAUGGGUAAAUUGGACUAGAUAUCUACCAGCUAUUUUAGCUGAGAUAAGAAUAUAUCCCCACAAGAUGAAUUGUUGAUAAAACCGAAUGGUAUGUAUGACAAUGUUUCUUCGCAGUUUUCCCUUACCUUCACAGGAACCUACUCAUUCAUACCAGCCCGGUGACAAGGUGUAUAUCCGUCAGUUGAACAGGACCAAGAAAGGAGGAUACCCUUUUGGACCACCUGCUACUGUGAUUGCUGUACCCAGAACCGCUGUCCUCACAGAUUCCCAUGACAUCUGGAUUCACGCAUCCCGAGUGAAGCUGUGUCCAAAGAGGGGAACCAAGGAAGACAACACCACUCCUCGCUCGGAAACAGAAGAAUUUCUCCUCAGCGAAGCAUCAUGGUUUUUACACCAUAUCGUAGAUUGAGAGGAUCAUACGUACCUGAGACCAAGAUUAUGUUGUGUGCUAUGCUUUCUGGAGUUGUUAUACUCCCUCUGAUAUUGUUCCUUGAAUGCCAUUAUGAGUACAAGUCAAUGGCAAGUUCUGGAAAAAGACUCUGACAUGAUGAACAAUUCUUCAAUACCCCCAGCCCAAUUAGGCCUUAGCUCCUCAUCUAGCAUUCGUCACACACACCCCCUCAAGAACCUUUCUCCACCACCUUUCUAUCAGCAUGCAAUAUGCAAUCAUUCAUUCACUGAACGCAUUUGGAUGAAUUGGACAAAUAGUAACCCUUAUAAGUACCAGUUACCCAUAUGAAAUGUGUCUACAGCUAAUGAAACCGAUGCAUUAUGUUUGUUUAAAGGUUCACAGAAAAUUGUUAGAUCUUAUAACGCAGAAAUGUGCACAGUUAAGGUUGCAUAUCAAUGUAAACAGACAGGCCUUAUUACUUUUAAUAAUGAUUAUAUAACUGGUAUCAUUAAUUGGAGAAGGGGACAAAUGUUAGUCAUUAUGAACGACACUACAAUUGAGAACUAUACACUACCUUAUAUUUUUACACCUUAUUACUGUCCUUUAUCCACUAUCAUAGAACCAAAAGUCAAACACGACACACACACACACCUAUUUCGUCCACAUGUAUUAAUACAACUGCCUUCUUACAAGCUGUACAUGUGUCAUUAAAAAUCACUACUCCUGUUGUAACAUUAUGUAAUACAACAAACAAAGGCAGAAAAGGGAAUGGUAUGACACACUGUUAGGAGGUGCUGGAACCACUAUGGGUAUACUAAAUAGUUAUAGAUAUGGAGACCCUCAAGAAUAAGUUAAACACAGCCAGCAUGCAUAUAGGGACUGGUUUUCAUGCUACUGCAAAUUGGGCUCCAAUUGUUGUUAAAUCACAGGUUAUAGGAUUGGAUUUAGAUAAAUCAAUGUAUAAUUAUUUAGAUAAUUUAACUGUUGCAACUAUGAAAUUCACUAGAGGUCUAAGUAACUGGAGUACUUGUGCCAUCAGGUAUUUAUGGAUACAACAACAAGGAUUGGCAUUAGAAAACGCACUAAUGAUUCCUCAACUAGAGAAGAUUAGAGGAAAGCGUAACCUCACAGAUAAUGAAUGGUUACUUCUAAAACCCCAAUCCACUAAAUGCAAUGGAUGGUUAACUGGUAAUGUUUCACAUUUUUUCAUGCUCAUGCUAUUUUACAUUAUAUCAUACAUCAUCAAAGGAUGUUAAAUUAGCUUGUCAAUUUAACACAUUACCAGUACCAGUUUAUGAUCUUUUUGCCAAGAAUUUAACCUGGUGGGCACCCACAUACACAGGGGACUAUAUUUUCCCCAAAGAUAACACACACAGGUAGCCACACAUAUCCUAAAAGGAGAACUCCUUAAGGUGAGUUCACAAAUUCAGAAUGAUUUAGCCCAUCAUUGGUACGAUGCUUCACUGGUUGGUCCCCUACUGGAUCUCAGAUAAUGAAAUCAUUCUUCUAUCAUUUUGUUAUUAUAGUCCUGAUUUUAUUGUGUAUGAUUUUAUAUAACUGUCACCUUACUUGUACAUUGAGGAAGAGAGUACAGAAAUGAAUCCAUAAUGCAGAACAGAAACAAUUAGAAAUUCUCCUCUCUGCCACUGUAGAGUAUCAACCCAUCUUUAAACUGGGCCUUAGGAAUUACCACAUGGGAAUCGAGGUGAAGAAAUUAAUGAAAGUCCCGCAGGGAGUGACUAGCACCCCUGAAAAUACCAUGUGGAAGUUUCUCUGUCCUGGUAAGAUUUUAUCGAUAAGAUGAGCAAUUGUUUUAUUGCUCAAAGAGGGGAAUGUAAGAAUAUUAAAUAGUUAACUUGUUUAUAUGUAUUUUAUGCUUUUAUAAGGUUUAUAACAUGAUUAUUGCUGACUGAAGGGAUAUUGAAUACUUAAAGUCAAUAUGCUGACUGUGACAGACUAAGGUAUUUCUUCUAUAGGAUGUAAGACAAUGCUAAAAUUUCAGGAUGUCUUGCCCAUUCCGAUUUUAAGGAUAUUCUUUUCCAGACGUAUGCAAAAGCUUAUCUUUCCAUUGUCAGAAUAACGUAAUAUAAGGAAGUAAUAAAUCUUAUAGUCUGUACUGUAUUUGCAUAUACCAUGGCUAAUGUAAGCAAACUAUGUAUAAAAGCCAG